AAAGAGUAAGAAGUAUUUUUGUAUGUUUAAUUUCCAAUUAAAAGGUGAAUUUAUUU
rnacentral:tRNA from 1 species